rnacentral:rRNA from 1 species
GACGAACGCUGGCGGCGUGCCUAAUACAUGCAAGUAGGACGAAGUUGCGAACGGGUGAGUAACGCGUAGGUAACUGCCUAUUAGAGGGGGAUACAUAUUGGAAACGCUAGCUAAUACAGCCUACUAGUAGAUGGACCUGCGUUGUAUUAACUAGUAGGUAGGAUAAUGGCCUAACUAGGCGACGAUACAUAACCGAACUGAGAGACUGAUCAGCCAGGCUGGGACUGAGACAUGGCACAGAGUCCUACGGGAGGCAGUAGUAGGGAAUUUUCGUCAAUAGGGGGAACCCUGACCGAGAAACGCCGCGUGGGUGAAGAAGGUUUUCGGAUCGAAAGGCUCUGUUGUUAAGGAAGCGGUACUUAACCAGAAAGGGACGGCUAACUACGUGCCAGCCGCCGCGGUAAUUC